GUACAAUAAGAACUUCAAGACACUGAAGAAGGAAACUGAAGAAGACCUCAGAAGAUGGAAAGAUCUCCCAUGCUCAUGGAUUGGCAGGAUUAAUAUAGUAAAAAUGGCCAUUUUACCAAAAGCAAUCUACAGAUUCAAUGCAAUCCCCAUCCAAAUACCAAUCCAAUUCUUCAAAGAGUUAGACAGAACAAUUUGCAAAUUCAUCUGGAAUAACAAAAAACCCAGGAUAGCUAAAGCUAUCCUCAACAAUAAAAGGACUUCAGGGGGAAUCACUAUCCC
rnacentral:lncRNA from 1 species